rnacentral:rRNA from 1 species
CUACGGAGGGUGCAAGCGUUACUCGGAAUCACUGGGCGUAAAGCGCGCGCAGGCGGUCUUUUAAGUUGGAUGUGAAAGCCUAUGGCUCAACCGUAGAACUGCAUCCGAAACUAUUAGACUAGAGUGUGGGAGAGGAAGAUGGAAUUAGUUGUGUAGGGGUAAAAUCCGUAGAGAUAACUAGGAAUACCAAAAGCGAAGGCAAUCUUCUGGAACACUACUGACGCUGAGGCGCGAAAGCGUGGGGAGCAAACAGGAUUAGAAACCCUAGUAGUCC